CAUCCUCCAAGGCUAAAUACUCCUGACUGACCGAUAGUGAACCAGUACCGUGAGGGAAAGGCGAAAAGAACCCCGGCGAGGGGAGUGAAAAAGAACCUGAAACCGUGUACGUACAAGCAGUGGGAGCCCCACCACUAAGCCAGUGGUGAACUCCACAUACGCAUCCUUUGCUGAAGGCAAUGGUUAACGGAGCGAAAGCGACGUUCAACCUCAAAAGAAGCAGAGGGGGCUUAGUGGUGGGGUGACUGCGUACCUUUUGUAUAAUGGGUCAGCGACUUAUAUUCUGUAGCAAGGUUAACCGAAUAGGGGAGCCGGAGGGAAACCGAGUCUUAAUUGGGCGUUAAGUUGCAGGGUAUAGACCCGAAACC
rnacentral:rRNA from 1 species